GUUGAAACGCCUUAAGGUUUAAAUAUCUGAAAAUACUGAUAAAACAUAACAUCUGAAAGUACGGUAUAUCAAUACCAAAAUUGAAACAUCUGUAAAACUGUAAACUGCUGAAUAUCUAGUCUGAAAACCUCUAACUAUAUGACUGAGGAGUUCAUGGGACAAGACCCCAACUAACUCCGUCUACUGAAAAUAAUAAGAAUAACCACGUCCUCAAACUAUGAGGACUCACCAUAAAGUCUGCUGCUGAUAGAGUGGGUUGCUAAGUACGAUCUGGAGCCCGUGCGUCUGAACCUAUGGUAUAAAACACCAUAGCGCAAGAGAAAAGUAUGCGUCAGUACGUGGGAAUGUACUGGUAUGCAAAGUAAGGUAGGCUGAAUGCAUGGGUUCAUAUACAUGAACAAUACUAACUGAAUAACAUGAGUAUAACUGAAUAAGAGUGCAUGCAUAAAUAUGUAAACUGUAACUGAGGUCGUGAUAACACUGAAUACUAAGUUCUGAAUACUGAUUUAUUGACAUGUGAGAUUACUAAUACUAGGAUACUGAAUAACUGAGUCUACUAAUGCUGAUAUUUGAAAAUUAAUUUGAAAUUUGAACUAAGUUAUUGAAGUUCAUAACAUGACAAUGAAGAAGAAAUUUGGGGGAAAUAACUCUUUUCAAAAAUCUGAAUAAAUUGAGAUAAAAAUGGAAAGAAACCACACCUUGAUAAGCAGCAUUGAUGGAGGAGGUAACCACCCCUUUAA
rnacentral:lncRNA from 1 species